CAUCAUCGUAAGAACAAUAACUGGCUGUUUUACUAUGCUCUCAACUAUGCUGCUGUUGCUACUGGCUUUACUUUUCCACACAUUUGGUUUAAUCAAAUAGGGCAAGGACAAGGUUCAUAGACGAGACAGCAUCCAUAAAGUAGAUACGGAGGAUAAUGAUAACCAGUCAAUAAGAGUCACAAGAGGUCUACAAGAGGACAUUUGUAACAUUGGUAAACCAUAUAACAGUUGUGCACUUGCAGCAGCAGGAUCAUAUUUUUCUCAGUUUAAUCACUUCAUCUUACAUACUAUGUAUCUUAAUUCUUACGGUUAAUUUAUCAACAGCAUACAUUGUCAAAAUCCAAGAGAGUUCGUUCUCCAGUGCUUAGUUCUUCAUUUCAAACUUUUAAUUUCAAAAAGGUUGCUGCUUAACGUGCUACUACAUAAGCCUGAUAAAUUCAUGCUGGUAGCAAUUUUUCCUAUAGAAAAUUUAGUACUGGGAACAAAUUGAAAGUUUUAAUUCAAAGUGCUAAAACUUUUGGAAUCAGCUGGACUGCAAAAAAUUCUACAGAAUAAGAUCAAUUUGAGGAUAAGAAGGAGCCAAAUAUUCCAUUACAAGCAAAAGGAAGUCUUUAGCAAGGAGUUAUCAUUGUAAACUUAUCCA
rnacentral:lncRNA from 1 species